CCGGUGAGCAAAGCGAGCCCUAUUUGAACCAGCGGAGGCCACCACUGCGGCGCAACGAGGCCACCUCGCCCACCACACGCAAAGCCAGCCAGCGUCGCGCGCGAGGGAGACGAGAGCGGGGAUCGAUCGAUCGGCCCGACCCAGCCGGCGUCGAUGGCGAGCUCGCUGGCCCGCCUGGGGGCGGCGCUGCCCCGCGCGCGCCCGCUCGCCGCGGCGGCGGCGAUGGGGGCGGCGCGGACACCGCCGCGGGGAGCGCGGUGGGACCCCGUCGCCUCCCGCCCCGCCUCGCUGUACGCUCGCAGAUGCCAGGCUCACUCUGACGUGAAGGCGUCCCCUGCAUCGGAGUCCAAGGAUGUGGGGAGCUUGUCCCAGAGCUGGAGGAUCAAGAUGCUCUACGAUGGUGAAUGCCCGCUCUGUAUGCGUGAGGUAAACAUGUUGAGGGAAAGGAACAAAUCCUAUGGAGCUAUAAAUUUUGUCGACAUCAGCUCGAAAGAUUACUCUCCGAAGGACAAUCAGGAUCUUGAUUAUGAAACUGCUAUGGGGAGGAUACAUGCCAUUCUCUCAGAUGGAACUAUUGUCACAGAUGUUGAGGCAUUCAGAAGGCUUUAUGAGGAAGUUGGACUUGGAUGGGUUUAUGCAGUUACUAAGUAUGAGCCUGUGGCUACCAUAGCAAAUGCAGUAUAUGGUGUAUGGGCCAAAUACCGUAUGGAAGUUACAGGUCGACCUCCCCUGGAGGAAAUUUUUGCAGCCCGAAGACAAGCGGUUAGUUGGCUUUAUUUCCUCUUCUUGGAACUUCAUAUAUGACUGUGAAUAACUUGAGCUUGCGGACCGUCUUUUCCUUUGGCAGGGUGAAUGUAAAGAUGAUAAAGCAUGCAAGAUGUGAGCAGUGCUCUGCACGUCUUCACUUCUACAUACUGUUAGAUAGGCACACAUACAUAUACAUACAGUUAGUCUUAUAUUCGAAGGGUUGCGAGAUUGACGACAGAGAUGAUGAUGUUUUCUGUGUUGGGUAGUGAAUAAUUCCAUGAUCUUGCAUAAUUCUAUGGGCAAGAUACGCAACUUUAGCAAGUUAAUUCUGGGAUGCUGUCUUCAGUUCUGCACUGAGCUCGCUUGUUGCAUCGUAUCCUUCAGUGUCCACCUUCUCUGUUUUACUGUGUAUGACCAGACUUGUUCUCUUGUGCAGCAAGAUAUUACAAUACCAUGUAUUGGAAAGUGGAGUGAGUCACUUUCAUACAUAUGUU
rnacentral:rRNA from 1 species